ensembl:snRNA U6 U6 spliceosomal RNA
GUGCUCACUUCAGCAGCAUGUAUACUAAAAUCGGAAGGAUACAGAGUAUAUUAACAUGGCCCAUGGUCAAGGAUGACAUGCAAAUUCGUGAAAUAUCUAUAUCCUUU